GUGGAUUUGUCAAGACGCAUUUCCUGCACGCAAACUGAGGGCUGCCGCUGAGCGCCAAUCUGGGCUCACUUCUCAGGCAGCUAAACCCUUUGACACUGCGCUUUUUAAUUAAAAUUACAUUAUGAUUAAUCAGCCAGAAGGAGGGCCUUCUCCGUUUGUUUCCAGGCAGGUUUGAUUACAACCUGUGACGGACGCUGCUCGCUGCCAAGCCGCUAAAGAUGUGCUGGCAGAUGCGGUGGCCCAGCCAGCUUGUCGAGCCCCAGGGUUGCGGGCGACAAGGGAGAGGGAAGGAGAGAGGAGGGAGUGAAGGGGGGAAUGACAGAAGACAGAGGAAAAGAUAGGAAAAGGAGGAAAUGACAGACAGAGAAAGAAAGGAGCUGAAGAGAUGGGAACGUGUACAGAUGAAAGAGGCCAAGACAAAGACUUCAAACUAAAUAUAAACAGGGGAGAGUGAGACAGCCAGAUAGAGCAACAGACAGACCCCCAUAGGGCAGUAGCAGUCACGUGACUCUCUCAGACAUACCCCCACAGCCGUCUAGAAAACAAUAUCGAUCAGGAUAUGUCUGAGCUGCCGGAGAGCAACUCCCGAAGCAGACGAAAAGAAAGACAAGGGGGGGGAUCAGUUCUCCCUACAACAGUACAAGGUGCCUGGGUCUGGAAACACAAGCCCAUACUUACCUCUGGUCUCUGAGAGGGCACCGAGGGCCCUUUGUAGUGCAGGUAUGGCGCUGUGUAAUCUGCGUGGCAAUCGUGUCGACUCGAAGGCCCUGUAGUCUGCUUACUCAGGCUGAAAGAGCCAUGUUCCAAGUGUGUCCCCACACCAGAAAACAAAGCCAGGAGGAGGAUGUCAGGGCCCUGUUGGCGGUGCACAGGGCCAGUGAGACACGUUUCAAAUCAGUCAAGGAGGCCAUGAUAAACCUGAGUACUGUGUCCACGGAGAAAGCGGAUGUGCAGCCUCAGUUCUUAUGUACUGUUUACAAGUGUCAGUGUUAAAUUUGAAUCACUGCCAGUUUAAAACGUUGUGUAUUAACAGAAGCUCAACCCACCACAGCCAGAAAACAACUGUCCACAAUUUGGAACCUGGCUCCAAUCUAGGUUUCUUCCUAGUGCAUUUUCCAGUUUUUCCUAGUUACUGUGCUUCAACAUCUUAUUCAUUUCUCUUUGGGGUUUUAGGUUAGGUUUUUGUUUGAGCACUCCUGAUUUUAAAAGGGCUUCAUCAAAUAGGUGCGGCCGAGUGAUUGAAAUGACUAUAAGACUUGUAAGCUAGAAAUAAUACUUAU
ensembl:lncRNA